AGCGAACGCUGGCGGCAGGCUUAACACAUGCAAGUCGAACGGGCACUUCGGUGCUAGCGGCAGACGGGUGAGUAACGCGUGGGAACGUACCUUUCGGUUCGGAAUAAUUCAGGGAAACUUGGACUAAUACCGGAUACGACCUUCGGGGGAAAGAUUUAUCGCCGAUAGAUCGGCCCGCGUCUGAUUAGCUAGUUGGUGAGGUAAUGGCUCACCAAGGCGACGAUCAGUAGCUGGUCUGAGAGGAUGAUCAGCCACAUUGGGACUGAGACACGGCCCAAACUCCUACGGGAGGCAGCAGUGGGGAAUAUUGGACAAUGGGCGCAAGCCUGAUCCAGCCAUGCCGCGUGAGUGAUGAAGGCCUUAGGGUUGUAAAGCUCUUUUGUCCGGGAAGAUAAUGACUGUACCGGAAGAAUAAGCCCCGGCUAACUUCGUGCCAGCCGCCGCCGUAAUAC
rnacentral:rRNA from 1 species